rnacentral:lncRNA from 1 species
CGGAUGGGGUCCAUUUUUAGCUUCCACUAUGCACGUUCGAACCAGGGACGUAACUACGGGUGGGCCAUGGCCCACGUGCUAGCCCACCCUGAAUAUAUAACCCAAAACAAAAUUGAAAACCGCAAGAGUUCAACUCCACAUAACUCAAGAUGCCUCGAGUUUUGUAAACAUGAAAAUUUACCAACGAAUACAUUAAACACUCAUAAUCCAAGACGCCUUGUAUUCCGUAAAAAUGAAAAUAAAAAACCACAAGUAUAAUUUAAGCCCACAUAAUUUCACGCUAAUAGCAAUAAAAAUUUUUAUUUACAAGAUGCGAAAAAAUGCUCCUUUGUACAUUUUACAUGAUAAUUAAUGCGAUUAACUGGAAAG